CUGUUAUUAUCUGCUUGAGUGUUUUUUUUGUUUGUUUGUUUUGUUUUGUUUUCUCAUUUUUUGCGAAUGCAAUAUUUGUUUUUGGCUUGUGGUUGCCCUGUUUUUUAAGUAUGCUAACCCCUUCCUAUAAUUGUGUGUUUUAGCUUGAUGGUCCUGUAAGUUCAAACACUUCAUUACUAUAUUAAAAUUAAGAAGAGAAACAUACAAACAAACAAACAAAAAGGGUUAUUUAUUUCCUAACAUCUCUUGCCCUCAUUUUAUGAUUUUGAUGACUCUUUUUUUAUUUUUUUUCUUUUUAAUUUUAUUUUGUUUGAAGCAUGUUCAUGAUUAAAUCUGUAUGCUGGCUUAUUUGAGUGACUGCUAGAUACACUCUUUCAAUACAAGUGAAGAAAUUGCUGGUGUCCUUUAUAGUAUGCUGAUAUAAAGACAGACCAAGUAAGCCUGAGAGAGUAAACAAUUCACCUAGAAUCAAAUGAUUACAUCCAAUGUGGAUGUAGAAUUUGAUUAAAUAUUUAAAUGACCAUUUUGUUUUUAAUAAUUAAAAUGUAAUUCAGAAGGAAAUUUUAUAUAAUGUCCAUAUUUCACUGAAAUUGUAACUUUCUCACCUCUGCAUUUUAAAAGUCUGUGUAAGUCAACAUUGUACUCAUAUCUCGGUCACCUAAAUAUCAAGAGAAUUAUUUAGAGUAGUCUGAGACUUUUAGUGAGUUGUGUAUCUCUCUUUUUUGUGACUUAAUUUCUUUCUUCCUAUGGAAUAGAAAUAACAGAUGUUUUGAUGCAAGACAUUGUUAAAGAUGGAAAUAAUUAAACAUGUAUUUCAAAUCAUUUCAUUUUAAAAAUAGACCUCAUUAUUUAGAGCAGCGUUUAGAAAUUUUAAACCUAAAAUUUCAGAAAAACUGGGAAUACAAUAUGGAGUGUUCCCAUAUACAACCCCACAAAAUUAUUCUUCUUAUUUUUUACUAUUGACAUCUAUACCUGGUUUGCAUUACAAUUAAUGAUUCAAUAUUGAUGCAAUAUUGUUUAUCAGAGUUCAUAGCUUAUUCAUUUGUCCUUAGUUUUUACCUACUAUCUUUUCUGCUGAAGGGUACCACAUUACAUUUAGUCAUUAUGUGUCUUUUUUUUUUUUUUUUUGUCUUUUUGACAUUUCUUGGGCCGCUCCCGCGGCAUAUGGAGGUUCCCAGGCUAGGGGUUGAAUCGGAGCUGUAGCCACCAGCCUAUGCCAGAGCCACAGCAACGCGGGAUCCGACCUGCGUCUGCAACAUACACCACAGCUCACGGCAACGCCGGAUCGUUAACCCACUGAGCAAGGGCAGGGACUGAACCCGCAACCUCAUGGUUCCUAGUCGGAUUCGUUAACCACUGCGCCACGACGGGAACUCCCAUUAUGCAUAUAUAUCAUAGGAUGCUCUUGGAGCUUGUCUGAAAUUUUUGUCGUGAUUAGACUAGGGUUAUAGGUUUGAGGGAAGAAGAUCACAAAGGUAGUUUCAUUUUCAUCCUGUUACAUCCAGGAUAUACCCAUGAUUUAUGACAGUUAGUGUUGAUGUUGAUUACAUGGUACCGUUGUCAAUUUAUCCACUCUAAAUCGUUUUUCCCCUGUUUAUGUUGUAAUCUUUUGAAGAAAGUCUCUGUGCACAGCCACCACUUAGUGAGUGUGGAGUAAUAGUCCCUGUCCUUUAGGAAGGAAUAGCUAUCUACAUCUAUAUUAUAUCUAUAUUAUAUACAGAUAUGUGUAUGUAUAUUCAUCUACAUACUUAAUAUGUAUUACGUAUAUAUUCUAUUAGUUCUGUUUCUCUGAAGGAAGGAAACCGACAUAGUUUCCUUAUGUCAGUGUUUUCGAAUGCUAGAGAAGCUGUAGUAAGAAAUACAUUUUAUACAGUGACCAACUAAACAUCUCCCCAACACACACACGCACACACACACACAUUAAAGUUGGUCUUUUCAACAAAUUCAAUUUCAUGUCAGAUAUCAUUUAUUAAAUCUAAUAGCUCACAGAUCUUCAGACCACCUUCCUACAAGUUAGAAAACAAUUAAAUGCGUAAGUGUGUUUGGCUUGUCAGAACACACAAAGAUAAUGCUGUGCAUACCAUCUAAGCCUGAUUGAGUUUUUUCCUUUCUAUUUCUUCAUUUUGGUCAAGGAUGAGAAUUCUAGUUCGAUUAAAUAAGUUGUGGUUAAUAACAAUUUCCUCUGUUUAGCAAUGUAAAAUAUUCCAUAACUUAAUCAGAAGUCAUAAUGUGUUAAUACCUGACAAUUACUUUUCAAUGCAAAUGAAGAACCGAAUUAUAAUAAUUGUAAUGGACUCUAAUAAUGAAUGGGUUUUAAUAUUUAUUCCUUUUAGGUGUGAGGUUUAACUCAGUUAUUGAUGCAACGUUUUGAAUAGCAAGUAGAUCUUCUACAAGUUUUUCUAUUUUAUUCAAUAUAGCAAUGAUUAAAAAUUUGAGGCAGAAUAACUAAGACGUAAAUGUUUCUAAUUUUAUUUUAUUCAAGCUCCUUUAGUUAUUGGUGUCCUCUUCAGUGGUUUGCAACAGAUUUGGAGAACAAGUGGAAGAAGGAGUCACCAAGACAUUUGAGUCUUGUUUGCCAUAACAGUAAUAUUUUUGGAAGCCUUCAUGUUUGGGAUGUUGACAAUAUUGCUAAUCACCCCUCAACACACUCUAAGUUCAGCCCAUAAAGAAUGCUUUAAGUGCCAGUUAAAUACAUUAUUUUUAUUAUCAAAAUACCACAUAGAAAAUAACAGCCAACUCUGAUUACUUUACAUUUAGAGAAGCAUGAAAUUCACUUUUGGGCUCACAAUCUGUCAAGAAUGGUGAGAUGUCUGAGAUUUUGCCCUUCUUGUCAUCUAACAAGUCAGCCUGCCAUAGUUUCAAGAUCCUAGCAAAAGACAUGGGACUCCUGGGACAGAAUUGAAGGGCUUUAUUACUCCUGGCAAACGAGGCAGCAUGAGCAUCACUCUUCUUUUACUUCCUGUGUCCCAUGGGGGUGACAUGGAGAUGGACUUACUUGGUCAGAGCAUUCAAUGAAUGUUACAGUUGAGAAACUCGAGUUUAGAAAGCCUUGGUCUUUUGAAGGGCUUCAAGUAAACCUGUCCAACUUUGAGUCAAAGGGGGACAUUAAUUUUAGUAUCCAGAGCAUCACACAAAUAUACUUCUGACUCUAUGGAGACAUUACAUCUAUUUUCCAACCUUUCAUGCUAUAUAGACAUUCUCAAAAAGGUAUUUUAGAACAAAGCUUUCAUUGCUCUUUGUUUGCAAGAUAUACAGAAGUGCAAGAGAUAUAUGGAGAAUCAUCUCCCAACAUAAUCUCUCUUAGACUUUUCCUGGGACAAGCAAUACAUUUUAAGAUGAUACAAUAGGUUUCAUUAAUUUUAUGCAAAAAUAUCAGAUAUUGUAUCAUCACCAAAACGUAUAGUUUUGAAUUUGUCAGCUGAUAUUUCAUUUUAAAAGUCAUAUAGUCCAGUUCUAUACAUCCUGUAGGAAUAAUUCUUCGGGAAGUUGUGUGAGCUGUUUUAUUUUUCCCAUUUGUCUCAAAUUAUGAAUUAAAUAAGGCAAAAAUACCUUUUCUGUUAGGAAAUUCUAUUGAUAAAUUAAUUUUUUCCUUGAAAAUAUUUUGGGCACUAUUGAGUCAUUUGCUAAAUUUCCAAUUAAGUUUUCAAAUUUGAAGUUUCAAAAAUUUAUGUGAAAUGACGAAAUAAAAUCAAAUAACCUUUUUUUUUUAGUCAAUGUGUGCUUCCCACACACCCCCUCCAUGCCCUUUUCCCACUGUUCUUAUAAUUGCUACAGUGCUCUUUUACAAUGUGUGCAGUGGGACUUGUGAGCUGUACUUUGAUGUAUUCUAUGCCUUGCUAUCUUACAUUUCAUCCCAUCCAUUCUGGAAAUCCCAUUCUAUUCCAUGCACUCUGUUAAAUAAAUAGUGGUCACCACUCAAUUUAUUUCAUCCUCUAUUAUCAGUUUUCGAGCUACAGUUUUUUUUAAAAAAACAUACUCUCUGUGUUAAAAUAAUUCAAAUUGUUUCCAAAUCUGGGAGUAAGAGCUGUAAUUACUUUGAAAAGAGACCUUAUUUUGGUAUUAAAAUGAUAGCAGGGGAAUACUAUGCAAGUAUUAAAAAUGGCUUCAGUAUUAGUGUUAUAAAAAUUACUUUUAUUUGACUCCAAAAUGUGUGUUUUGUUUUAAAAUGCAUUAUUUGAUCCAAAAGUCUACCAGUCUUUGAAAUUAAAAAAAAAGUAACUAAAGACUGUCAUUAUAAAAAUUAUGCCCCAAAUCCUUUUUGUUUCUAGAUCAUAAAUUAACCUGUUCAUAUAAGUGACAGUUAACUAGCCCCUCUCUCUGCAUAUGUAUAAUGUCUGUAAAAGAAAUUAUAUGUAAAACUUUUGCUUUGUGCCCCGAAAAAGAGUUUUAGAAAGUAGACAUCAGCAAUGGGUGAGAAAGAGGAGUUUAAUAAUUGAAUCAUUAAGUAUAUCUGCUUAAAAUUCUCUGCAGAUUUAUUUAUAAGAUAAUAUGAGGAUUGCUACACGGAGAGAUAGGAUCUAUUUGUGCACUGAGGAUUUUGGAGUCAAACAAUUUGGUUUCUUUGAGUUAUUUCUCUAGUGUAUUUUGUUAGUCUGUGUGAAAAAUUGUGUAGAAUAUUUAAUCAAGAGUAUAAGAGUACUAAGUUACAGAAUUUGUCAAAUGUCCAUUUAUAGUAUAUUUCUUGAUUACUAUUACAAGGGUUCUCUUGCGGUGCAGUGAGUUAAGGAUCUGGCAUUAUCACUGCAGUGGUUUGGGUUGGUGCUUUGGUUGAUCCCUGGCUUGGAAACUUCCACAUGCCAUGAGCAUGGCCAAAAAAAAAAAAAAAAAAAAAAAAA
rnacentral:lncRNA from 1 species